GGCCUCCUGGUGCUUACUACAGACUGUGCUCUUACACUGACUACAGACAGAGGAGGCAGAGUAAACUUACCACAUAUACACGUGAGCCCAGGCCCUUUGGUCUGUAUUGUGAAUGGGGGGUUAUGG